CUGCGGAAGCGCUGCCUUGUUUACUUCCCCUGGGUGUCACACUGACCUUCCGGCAGUCGAUUCAUCCGUUUUCAUUUCAGGUUACCAAACGAUGUCCAACAGCCUGCGCAGACGUCUUGAAAAAGCAAAAUCCAAGGCAACUCUUCUCUCGUACAAAACAUGUUGGUGUUUUUAAUGUUCAUCAUGAACUAGCCAUUGAAUAAAGGCCUUUGAACUUUAGUACCAGAGAAGAGUUGCCUUGGAUUUUGCUUUUUCAAGAUGUACUGCACUUCCUGACCAAAGAGCACCUUCCUGGAUACCAUGAUACUGCAACCCACAUGAGCGCUUCAUAUGCUGCUGUCUUCAAGUCUGCGCUGACGGUUGAUCUCUUCUUCAUACCCGACGAUAGUUUUUGUGAAAACUCUGAAUAUUUCUUCAGCAGCAGCACUUAGUCUCUCUUUGACAAACUCUCUCAAAUACUCAACUGAAGACGCUGUUGUUUAAUUACCAAUCAAAUCAUUAUCUGCGCUAAUUUAAUAGUACUGUGCCACAAACUACAUCAACACACACAUGCAGCUAACGCUUCCGCCGCUUGUGUUGUUUACGUCCGCUGGAUGUCACACUGAGAAGUUCCGACAGUGGAAAUGAGCUCCUUUUUCAUUCCGCUUUCACUUUAAGGUUUUUUUAAUUCAUUGUACAUAAGUUCAUUUAUAUAAAGAAACUUAGACAGACAACAAAAAAGAAAAACAUAAGUAGACAAGAAAAAAAAAAUCACAUUUUAUAAAGUCAGAGUUUGUGUUAUAUGCAUCAUAUUAUAAUCACUUAGUAACUUGAAGGUCUUCAAUGCUUUUUUGUUUUUGACAUUGGAUAAAAUGGUGACAUAUUGUUGGAACACAUUAAUAAAGUGCAGGAAAGUUGGUCUGGUUUCUGAUCACUUUUAUUACGAAUUAAGAGUUUUCCAAAAAUAAUGAAAGUUGUAUAUUACACGUGUUAUUUUUAAUCUUGACUAAAAUAUAGCGUUACAUCAGACAUAUUUAUCUGAACAUUUAUCUGAAAUGUCUUUAUUAUAAAGAUGGCGGCAUCAAUCCAAAACAUUCUGGUAUAUAUACACAAGAACAAAAAAAAAAAAAAAAAGAGAGAGAGAGAGAAA